UGUAGGUUUGUUUUAAGUAGACACUGUGUAACAGAGCCACACUGGAGGUUUGGUGUAAGUAGACACAGUCUAACAGGACCACACUGGAGGUUAGGUGUAAGUAGACACUGUGUAAAAGAGCCACACUGGAGGUUUGGUGUAAGUAGACACAGUCUAACAGAGCCACACUGGAGGUUUGGUGUAAGUAGACACAGUCUAACAGAGCCACACUUGAGGUUUGGUAUAAGUAGACACUGUGUAACAGGGCCACACUGGAGGUUUGGUAUAAGUAGACACUGUGUAACAGGGCCACACUGGAGGUUUGGUAUAAGUAGACACUGUGUAACAGGGCCACACUGGAGGUUUGGUGGAAGUAGACACAGUCUAACAGAACCACACUUGAGGUUAGGUGUA
rnacentral:lncRNA from 1 species